UCUUUCCCUACACGACGCUCUUCCGAUCUUUGUUUCAAGGACUAAGCCAUGCAUGCCUCAGAAUAACUGCUAUGCAGGAAUCUGCGCAUGGCUCAUUACAUCAGACGCAAUCUGCCGCAAAUAUCUUGCGGUUUCCGCAAUAUUGGAUAACUUCUGCGAAAUGCGAAGCUAAUACAUGAAUCAAAGGCGUAGUCACCAUCAACUCUGUGCGUUCUUCGGGGCGUACAGAAGCGUGGCACCCUGCGAAUGAAUGAAAUUAAAACCAUCCCCUCUCACGAGGGAGACAAACCAGUAGUGUUGACUCAAUUCAUUCCGUGCGUAAGCCGAUCUAAUCGGCGUCUUUCGAUGAACAACUGCUCUAUCAGCCAGUGAUGGCCGUGUAGUGGACUGCCAUGGCGUUGACGGAAGCGGGGGAUUAGGGUUCGAUUCCGGAGAGGGAGCCUGAGAAACGGCUACCACUUCUACGGAGGGCAGCAGGCGCGCAAAUUGCCCAAUGCCAAAAAAUUGGUGAGGCAGCGAAAAGAAAUAGGCCUCCUUAACACCUUUCGGUGUUUGGGAGAUUCCAAUGGGGGAUAUUUAAACCCAUCGAACAUCGAGUACCAAUUGGAGGACAAGUCUGGUGCCAGCACCCGCGGUAAUUCCAGCUCCAAGAGCGUAUAUUAAUGCUGUUGCUGUUAAAGGGUUCGUAGUUGAAUUGAGGUUGCUUGGGUUCAUGUUGGUGCAGUCCCCUUUCGUUUCGUACAAAGUGGUGGCUCCCACGCCUGACAACCGUGAACAUUCAGAAACAAUUAACACGGGAUUCUGCUUCCUUCCAACAUUUCUCGCGUACAAUGCACGCCGUGUGGGAGGACGCCCGUGAUUUUUACUGUGACUAAAAAAGCGCGACCAAAGCAGUCAAGCGACAUGAAUUUUAAAGCAUGGGAUAACAACGAAGCAGCCUGCGGAUUACCGUUUCGGCUUUUGUUGGUUUUAAAGAUCUGUGGGAGAUUAUGGCAUGGUGUGACAAGCGGUUCGGAGUGCGGUUUACCGUAUUUCUCCUACGCCUUCCCGCUGGGUUCCUGUUUACGCAGGGCUUAGUCCGGUUCACCUUUGCUAGGAAUGAAGGAGGGUUGUUCGGGGGAGAACGUACUUGAACGUGAGAGGUGAAAUUCUUAGACCGUUCAAAGACGAACUACAGCGAAGGCAUUCUCCAAGGAUACCUUCCUCAAUCAAGAACCAAAGUGCGGAGAUCGAAGAUGAUUAGAGACCAUUGUAGUCCGCGCCCCAAACGGUGACCCCCAUGAAUUGGGGAGUAUUUGACUCACUUGGGCCUGCCUUCCGGUAGGUUCUCCAAGUGGUCAAUAAUUACUCAACUUACGUGCACAUUCAACGCGCUGGACUUCAAAAACCCAGCGUUCUACGGGAAUAUCCUCAGCACGUUCUCAAAGCUUUAGAUCGGAAGAGCGUCGUGUAGGGAAAGAGUGUAGAUCUCGG
rnacentral:rRNA from 1 species